CCUGAGGGGUUUUAUUCGUGAGGAAGCUGUGGCUGGGGAAAAGCUUCUUUUGUACUGGACCUCAGGAAUCUUCAUAAAAGAAAAAGCGAGGUCAAAGGAGUCUGCCUUACAUUAGAAGAGGAAAAGAACACCACCAGAUACUUCUAAAUUGUUGAAGUGUUUAUCUCUUGCUGACUGCUGUUUAUUUCUGACACAG